AGGGUUUGAUUCUGGCUCAGGAUGAACGCUGGCGGCGUGCUUAACACAUGCAAGUCGAGCGAAGCAUUUCAUCAGAAGUUUUCGGACGGAAGAUGAUCUGACUGAGCGGCGGACGGGUGAGUAACGCGUGGGUAACCUGCCCCAUACAGGGGAAUAACAGCUGGAAACGGCUGCUAAUGCCGCAUAAGCGCACAGGACGGCAUCGUCCAGUGUGAAAAGCCGAGACGGUAUGGGAUGGACCCGCGUCUGAUUAGCUGGUUGGUGAGGUAACGGCCCACCAAGGCGACGAUCAGUAGCCGACCUGAGAGGGUGACCGGCCACAUUGGGACUGAGACACGGCCCAA
rnacentral:rRNA from 1 species